AUUGAACGCUGGCGGCAUGCCUUACACAUGCAAGUCGAACGGUAACAGGUCUUCGGAUGCUGACGAGUGGCGAACGGGUGAGUAAUACAUCGGAACGUGCCUAGUAGUGGGGGAUAACUACUCGAAAGAGUGGCUAAUACCGCAUGAGAUCUACGGAUGAAAGCAGGGGAUCGCAAGACCUUGUGCUACUAGAGCGGCCGAUGGCAGAUUAGGUAGUUGGCGGGAUAAAAGCUUACCAAGCCGACGAUCUGUAGCUGGUCUGAGAGGACGAUCAGCCACACUGGGACUGAGAAACGGCCCAGACUCCUACGGGAGGCAGCAGUGGGGAAUUUUGGACAAUGGGCGCAAGCCUGAUCCAGCAGUGCCGCGUGCAGGAUGAAGGCCUUCGGGUUGUAAACUGCUUUUGUACGGAACGAAAAGCCCCGAGUUAAUACCCUGGGGUCAUGACGGUACCGUAAGAAUAAGCACCGGCUAACUACGUGCCAGCCGCCGCAGUAA
rnacentral:rRNA from 1 species